rnacentral:rRNA from 1 species
AUUGAACGCUGGCGGCAUGCUUUACACAUGCAAGUCGAACGGUAACAGGCCUUCGGGUGCUGACGAGUGGCGAACGGGUGAGUAAUGCAUCGGAACGUGCCCAGAGGUGGGGGAUAACGCAGCGAAAGCUGUGCUAAUACCGCAUGUGAUCUGAGGAUGAAAGCGGGGGACCAGGCAGCAAUGUUUGGCCUCGCGCCUUUGGAGCGGCCGAUGUCAGAUUAGGUAGUUGGUGGGGUAAAGGCCUACCAAGCCGACAAUCUGUAGCUGGUCUGAGAGGACGACCAGCCACACUGGGACUGAGCCACGGCCCAGACUCCUACGGGAGGCAGCAGUGGGGAAUUUUGGACAAUGGGCGCAAGCCUGAUCCAGCAAUGCCGCGUGCGGGAAGAAGGCCUUCGGGUUGUAAACCGCUUUUGUACGGAACGAAAAGGCUCUGGCUAAUACCUGGGGCUGAUGACGGUACCGUAAGAAUAAGCACCGGCUAACUACGUG